CGGGUACUUGUACCUGGUGGCGAGCGGCGGACGGGUGAGUAAUGCCUAGGAAUCUGCCUGGUAGUGGGGGAUAACGCUCGGAAACGGACGCUAAUACCGCAUACGUCCUACGGGAGAAAGCAGGGGACCUUCGGGCCUUGCGCUAUCAGAUGAGCCUAGGUCGGAUUAGCUAGUUGGUGAGGUAAUGGCUCACCGAGGCGACGAUCCGUAACUGGUCUGAGAGGAUGAUCAGUCACACUGGAACUGAGACACGGUCCAGACUCCUACGGGAGGCAGCAGUGGGGAAUAUUGGACAAUGGGCGAAAGCCUGAUCCAGCCAUGCCGCGUGUGUGAAGAAGGUCUUCGGAUUGUAAAGCACUUUAAGUUGGGAGGAAGGGCAGUUACCUAAUACGUGAUUGUUUUGACGUUACCGACAGAAUAAGCACCGGCUAACUC
rnacentral:rRNA from 1 species